rnacentral:rRNA from 1 species
ACGGAAGGCAGCAGUGGGGAAUAUUGGACAGUGGGGGAAACCCUGAUCCAGCGACGCCGCGUGAGUGAAGAAGUAUUUCGGUAUGUAAAGCACUAUCAGCAAGGAAGAAAAUGACGGUACUUGACUAAGAAGCUCCGGCUAAAUACGUGCCAGCAGCCGCGGUAAUACGUAUGGAGCAAGCGUUAUCCGGAUUUACUGGGUGUAAAGGGAGCGUAGACGGCAAAGCAAGUCUGAAGUGAAAUCCCGGGGCUCAACCCCGGAACUGCUUUGGAAACUGUUUAGCUAGAGUGCAGGAGAGGUAAGCGGAAUUCCUAGUGUAGCGGUGAAAUGCGUAGAUAUUAGGAGGAACACCAGUGGCGAAGGCGGCUUACUGGACUGUAACUGACGUUGAGGCUCGAAAGCGUGGGGAGCAAACAUGAUUAGAUACCCUGGUA